ACAGCAUGGCGACCCAGUUACACAUACGUGUGUACAUUCUUUUUUCUCACAUUACGUGUUCCAUCGUAAGUGACUAGACAGAGUUCCCAGAGUUCUACACAGCAGGAUCCCAUUGCUCAUCCAUCCUGAAGGCAACAUUCUGCAUCUGUUUACCCCAAGCUCCUGAUCCCUCCCACGCCCUCCCCUUCCCCUGUGGCCACUACAAGUCUUUUCUCCAAGUGAUUUUCUUUUCUGUGGAAAGCUUCCUUUGUGCCGUGUAGUAGAUUCCAGAUAUAAUUCCUGCUAUGGUGCCCUGGGUUAAGAAUCCAACGGCAGCAGCUAGGGUUGCUUUGGAGGCACGGGUUCAAUCCCCCAACCAGAGGCGUGUGUUCAGGGAUCUGGCAUAGGUUGCAACUGUGGCUUUCAUUCCGUCCCUGGCCAGUUCCCGUCCCUGGAACUUCCAUAUGCCGCAGGUGCAGCCAUAAAAAAAUUUUACGGUAAUUAUCACAAAGUCACGAACUCUUGCUCUGGCCACCUCAUAGGAUCGAUUGUGCCCUGAGUGGUGUCUGCAGUCCCCAACACAGACUGCCUACACCGUUCAGAGUCCUUCCCUUCAAAUCUGACAUGACAGCUAACUGCCGACGGAUCCCGCUGUGCUGCCUGCGCCAGGCUGGGCGCUGGCGAUUCCAGAGUCGUUCACUCCGUUUGUGUUCCGGUGGGACGAGGGGGUAGGUGGUAGAGGAAGGAGAAGCAGUGAUCCCGUGGUGGUGACCUUUAGGAGGUGUGUGAAGAGUGACCGGGGCAGGGGUGGGGUGGGGGGGCUUUGCUGGGGGAGGGUUGGGAGGUCUAAGAAGAUGACGCAUGAACUGAGACCAAAGCGGCAGAGGAACCAGCCUGUCCCCAGGGAGAGGCAAAUGCUUUACCUGCGGGGAAAAGGGACCUGGACCUCUGGACCACUGAUGAGAUGGGACGGCCGUGAGGCCGGUGUGGCGGGCGGGGUUGUGCAGGGGAGGGUGUGAGGAAAGGGGGUCAGGGCCCUGGAGAGGAGUCUGAGCAGGGGCGCCCUGAAACUGGACCUACCACACAUGUGGACGUGGAGGUGGGGGCCCUGACCUUGACAGUGUGUAUGAGGAGGCAGGGGGCUGUGGCUCUCUUGGUGGCAUUCAGGCCUGUGGGAAGGAAGCCUGACCUAGUGCCAGGCACUGGCACAGAGAUGCGCCAGCUCUGGGGCUCCGUGAUGCCAACACUGACCAGGGACCUUCCCUAUCUGGUGACAGCCCAGACCCGGGCCCGGAACGUCCACUCGAAGGCCCUUUCCACAGGGGGGCUGAGUAUCCGCUCUGUCCCAGAGCUCAGAGGGAUAAUUUGAUUUCAUUUGAACUUCAGCAGCUCUCAUUGCCUUUGAAGUCUCAUUCAGUUGAAUUUAAUAACAAGUAAAUAAUUCAUGAGGGCUGGGACAUGAAAGGAAGAGGACAAUAAAGAAAGGGACCCGCCAGAUACAGAGAGGGCACCUUGUCCCCCAGCCCUGCCUCCGUGAUGGGCAGGUCAGCUUGUGGUGGGGGGGGUGCCAUCACUCCUUCAGGAUGCUCCGAGUGACAUCUGUGGGCCCAGGCUUGAGCCAGUCGUGGGCACAGGCUCGCCCCUGCCCCUCCUGCUCUCAGCCACCAAUUUGCUCAGGGGCCCGCGGUCCUCUCUGAGCCAUUGUUUCCUGCCUGUACGAUGUCAGAGCCUUUACUGAAACAAUUGAUUCAGACAGAGGUCCUGCGUGGGUAUGAAACGGUUCGAUCAGGUCAUUUACACGCUGCUAAAGCAUCACCCAGGGAUCCUUUGCUAGGUGCAGGGAGAGAGCUGUCAAUCACCAUCUCAACCGAGCUCUCAGUCUCCACGUUCCCAACGGCCAGACAGACACGUUCUGCGCGGCCGUAGGAAGUGGCCAGCAUCACACUCAGAGACGCCAUCGAGGUCAGGCUGAAAGUCAUCAAGCUCUUUGUCGCUUUCAUUUCCUAGGAGACAUGGAUACAAAGUAUCGAUAUAGACACCAGGAGAAGACAAUCAGAAAAAGCCACAGGUUGACAAGUAGCCCAUUUUUUUCUACAACCCCCUGAUGUUUUGGAGGCUGGCAGCUGCUAGGGUGGGCACAUUCUAGACUAAAACACACAACCCCCCCCCCCACGGGCAACUUGUUAAAUCCUCAUUUAUACAAACCAGCUCCACAAGAUGUACUUGAAUAAUGAGGGAAGUUCUUAAAUGUGAGACGACCUUCAGAAAUCAUAUUCAUUUUUUGGAGUUCCCCUCGUGGCUCAGUGGUUAAUGAAUCCAACUAGGAACCAUAAGGUGGCAGGUUCGAUCCCUGGCCUCGCUCAGUGGGUUAAGGAUCCAGCGUGGCUGUGAGCUGUGGUGUAGGUCUCAGACACGGCUCGGAUCCCAUGUUGCUGUGGCUCUGGCCUAGGCCAGUGGCUACAGCUCCGAUUCGACCCCUAGCCUGGAAACCUCCAUAUGCUGUGGCUGCGGCCCUAGAAAAGGCAAAAAGACAAAGAAAAAAAAAAAAAAAA
rnacentral:lncRNA from 1 species